GGGGGGGGGGGGGGGGGGGAACUGUCAGAACUUUGGCUUUCAGUCAUAAAGCAAACUUGGCCUCAGAUCAGUAGCAGUUUAUAAGGCCAAAGUAUCUCUCUUCUCUUCUCUCUCCCUCCCCUCCCCUCCUCUCCUCUCUCUCUCUCUCUCUCUUUCUUUUUUUUUUGUUUUAAAGACAGGGUCUCACUAUGUAGCUCUGUUUGUCCUGGAACUCACGAUGUAAACCAAGCAGGCCUCCAACUCACAGAGAUCUAUCUGCCCGCCCUCUGCCUCCCAAGUGCUGGUUUCCAUUUCCAUUUUUAAGAGUGUCAAGUAACUUCACAAAACUAGUCUUCAGUCAGAUGCAGCCACCACACUUAACACUGUCUCCCCAUCCACAAGAGCAGGGAUAUAAAAACGCUCGGCAGGAUGAACACAAAUCCCUCACCAGGACGGUGGCACAGAGAUCGUUAAAGGUGCCCUCGGCUGUCCAUUUCACCGUCUUCUUGGGAAUGCUGCUCAAGGCCACCAAAGAAUUCCGGUUCCCUUUACCCUUGGCUGAAGAACUGAUUUAGACACACAGCUGUUUAAUCUUUCCUCUGCUUGGGAUUUUGCCUACCUUGUGGGGGAAGGGGAAUGUGAUGCUGGAGAUGGACCCAAGGCCUUGAGCAUGGAAAGCAAAUGUUAAAUAACUGAUCUACAGUCCGUUUCUUUGUGGUGGUAGGGAUCAAGGAAUUGGACAAUCCAAGGAUUUUUGUGUUCUCCAUCACUUAUUUGCACUCCUAGUCCUUGAUUUUUUUGUUUGGUUGGUUGGUUGGGUUUUUUUUUUUUUUUUUUUUUUUUUUUGAGACAGGCUUUUGCUCUAUGUCCAGGCUGCCAUUGAAGUUAAUAUUCAUACUGCCUCCUGCCUCUGCUUCCCAGGUACACAAUUUACAGCAUGUGCCGCCAUGUCAGUCCUUGAUUUUUUUUUCUUACUUUUUUAAGAUUUUAUUUUUAUUCUUUCUGUGUUUUGGGGGGAGGGAGUCUGUGUGGAAGUAUUCACACAUAUAUGCAAGUGCUUAAUGAGGCCAGAAGGGUAGGCUGGAUUACGUGAAUCUGCAGUUACAGGUCUUGUGAGCCACUCAAUAUGGGGGUUGUUAACCAAACCCCAGCCUGCUGUAGGAAUAACAGGCACUCUUAAUGACUGAGCCAUCUUGACAGACCCCUGAUAUUUCUUUAUUAAUUCUUCCCCCUUGACAAAGGGAUGAAACCCCAUAAAAGUAGACCCAUUUGUGACACUGGUGAAAUAAAACAGUCAGUCUCUAAGACAUUGAAAUCUAUCACUAAUGUGACAUCGCCAGGAGAGAUCACUUGCAAAGAAGAGGGAACCCACAGAGGAGCAAGGGCUUGCCAGUCGCAGUGGCAAGAAUGACUUAAACGGAGUUGAAAUUGGAUGUCGCCGCAGAGCUAGUGGCGGGACCGACCGUCAGGCACAAACGAGUGUGUCACGGCAAGAUUCUCAGGGCUGAGAAUACCGCUGUGAGGAAGAGACUUCACAUCUCUGUAAAACAUCCAACAGAUCCUACACUGGAAAUCCCUUCCACUAGAAAGAUGGAAAGUACAAAAAAUAAAAAAUAAAGCAGAUAAGCUGGGGGCCGGGGGCUGGGGGUGGAGGUAGGGGGCUUUCCUAACAGGUGGGAAGCCCUGGCUUUGGUCCCAGCACCUCAAAAAGUGGGGCAUGGUAGAUGAUUGUACCAGGGGUUAGAUGGAGCAUUAUACACACCUAUAAUCGAAGCACUGGGGAGGUAGAGGUAGGGUGAUCAGGAAUUCAGGGUCAUCCUCAGCUAUAUUUUGAGUUCAGGGACAACCUGGGCUUUGUGAGACUCUGUCUUAAAAAGAUAAACAGACAAGCAGGAUGUGGUAACACAGGCCUACCGUUCAGCAGGCUGAAGCAGAAGGAUCAUUUAAGUCCUGAAGUUCAAGGACAGCUUGAGCAACAUUUUGUUUAUUUCCUUUAAAGAUUUAUUUAUUUAUUACAUAUACAGUGUUCUGCUUGCAUGUAUGCCCGCAGGACAGAAGAGGGCACCAGACCUCAUUACAGAUGGUUGUGAGCCAUCAUGUGGUUGCUGGAAAUUGAACUCAGGACCUCUGGAAGAGCAGCCAGUGCUCUUAACCGCUGAGCCAUCUCUCCAGGCCUUGAGCAACAUUUUUAAAGACCCUUCUCUAAAAUAAAGACAAAUAGGUAAUCCUUCGAAAAGUCUUAGUUUCUAUACUACAGUUAGCCUAAAGUGCGUUACUUAAAUUGCUGCACUAUUUUAUUUUAUUUAUUAUUUAUUUACUUUUCUGUUUAUUUUGGGGGGGGGUGGCAGGGUGGCAGAGACAAAGCCUCGUUAAGUAGCUCUGGAUGGCUGGAACUCUAUAUGUAGAGCCUCCUGGCCUUGUUCGAGGAUCUGCCUGCCUCCAUCUCUCCAAGAGCUGGCUGAGAUUAAAGGCGUGCGCUACCAAGCCCAGGUGCACUCAUUCUAAACAGCAAGUUUUGCUUUUAUACACGCAGAUUGGAGGCUUACUGUAUAUAGAAUCUUAUGAGGCAUCUCAACUAUUCUCCCGGGACUUUGUUGCUUAGCAAGGGGAUUUGACUACAUCAAGGUAUUUAUCAUAAGCCUUACCAUGUCAGGUGGGGUAAUUUGAGACUCUGCUUCAGACUAAUAGAAAAACAAGAUGUCUUUUGUGCCUGUGACUUCAGCUUACAAACGCUUGCUUCCUUGUCUUCAUGUUUUGAGGCUAUGCAGCUGCACCACCAGCAUGACACACCUGCCCAUUAGCCUGUAUCUAAAGUUCCCGGAGAAAUGAACGAAAAUUGUUUGCUGGGAAGCUUAAUUGAAAAAUCUGUUUGAAAUGGCCCAGGAGGUAGCCCAAAAUAGGUUUCACACUAAUGUAUAUCAGGAUCUUGGUAAUGAUCCAGCCGGAGAAAGACUGACUCCAAACUGCAUGUGUAUGAGAGCUAUUCUUCACUCAACUAAAAAUCCACCUGAGCUGCCAUUUUGAAGUCUUUGUUUCAGAGCAACUAAAAUUAAACCAUAAAGACAAUAUUUCGAGCCAUGUUUUCUGAGGCACAUGUAUUCAAGCCGAUCUUAAUUCUGUUAUGCUUAGACAUAUUGACUUUUUCCUAUGCCAGAAGAGAAAAUACUGGACACUCUAUUUUGAGUUGUUACUACCACCCCCUCAACAUACCUCCCACACUUCCUAAGCACCUAUUCUGGUUUAUUAAAUUCAACAAGCUAUUUGCAUAAGAUAUUGCAUAAUAUUUCAUUUACUGUCUGUGUUUUCCUUUGGAAUACAAGCCACAUGAAGGAAUAGAUUUUAGUCAGUGGAAUCAGUAUCAUAUCCCUAGGGCCUAGCAGCACACAUUUUGUAUUCAACAGAUGUUACUGAAUGAAUGAACUGGCACUAAGUAAAACAUCUACCUCCUUUUAUAUAUAUUCCAGCUCAGAUUCAUGCAAUGUGCAUUUUAAGUACAUCUAUAUAGUAUCUUUUGUUUAUCCUUUUACUUUUGGAAGUACAUAAGCAAUGCUUCUUACAAAUAAUAAAGGUAUGGUGAAAUUUU